rnacentral:rRNA from 1 species
CCUACGGGUGGCAGCAGUGGGGAAUAUUGGGCAAUGGAGGAAACUCUGACCCAGCAACGCCGCGUGAAUGAUGAAGGUCUUCGGAUUGUAAAGUUCUUUUCUAAGGGAAGAAGAAAGUGACGGUACCUUAGGAAUAAGCCUCGGCUAACUACGUGCCAGCAGCCGCGGUAAUACGUAGGAGGCAAGCGUUAUCCGGAAGGACUGGGCGUAAAGGGUGCGUAGGUGGUUCAGCAAGUUAGUAGCGUAAUUCCGGAGCUCAACUUCGGCACUACUACUAAAACUGUUGGACUUGAGUGCAGGGGGGGCAACUGGAAUUUCUAGUGUAGCGGUGGAAUGCGUAGAUAUUAGGAAGAACACCGAUGGCGAAGGCGAGUUGCUAGACUGUAACUGACACUGAGGCACGAAAGCGUGGGGAGCAAACAGGAUUAGAUACCCGGGUAGUC